rnacentral:rRNA from 1 species
AGUGAACGCUGGCGGUAGGCCUAACACAUGCAAGUCGAACGGCAGCACAGUAAGAGCUUGCUCUUACGGGUGGCGAGUGGCGGACGGGUGAGGAAUACAUCGGAAUCUACUUUUUCGUGGGGGAUAACGUAGGGAAACUUACGCUAAUACCGCAUACGACCUACGGGUGAAAGCAGGGGAUCUUCGGACCUUGCGCGAUUGAAUGAGCCGAUGUCGGAUUAGCUAGUUGGCGGGGUAAAGGCCCACCAAGGCGACGAUCCGUAGCUGGUCUGAGAGGAUGAUCAGCCACACUGGAACUGGGACACGGUCCAGACUCCUACGGGAGGCAGCAGUGGGGAAUAUUGGACAAUGGGCGCAAGCCUGAUCCAGCCAUACUGCGUGGGUGAAGAAGGCCUUCGGGUUGUAAAGCCCUUUUGUUGGGAAAGAAAAGCAGCAGGUUAAUACCCCGCUGUUCUGACGGUACCCAAAGAAUAAGCACCGGCUAACUUCGUG